ACUUUUCGCCCUCAUUCCAACUUUUCGCCCUCAUUACUCCCCCUCAUUCCAACUUUUCGCCUCUUGUCGUCCUCUCUCCUUUUCGACUAUUCUCCCCCUCAGUUCUCUCAACCCUCAUUCAACAGCUGCGGCGGCGAUUAUUUGUGAAGCAGCAACGACGGUGGUAAUAGUCUCUGCAGCAGCGGCGUCAAGUUGCAAUGAGUUCUGGUCGGCGAAAACCUGGGCAGGAUCAGGCGGAGUCCUCGAAGAAGGGAAUUUUUUGUUCGGUAUCUCCUAACCAAGGGCCUCAAACACCUUGCUAAAGUGAUAAGUAAAGAACGUGGAAUCCGGCUGCUGGACUUGCCAUGGAAAACAACUAACAACGACAAGGACUCUGCGGUCUUCCUGAUGAGACAUAUGGAGACAUAUAUGGGUACGCCUAUCAAUUUGUGGAAUAGUGGUCUUCAAGGAGUUAAUGUCAAGACAUUGCAGAUUUUGAGGGGGUCUUAUUGCAAGACAAUGCUUCUUUCGGAAUCCAACAAAGUCAGGGACCGAUUCACAAAGUACGUGACAAGUUACAUCAAUGUGACCCCUUCGUUUAGAACAGAUUUCGCGAGGUAGAUCAAUGGUUUGUUGAAUAAAGAUCCCAGUAAAAUGUCCAACAAGGAGCCGGCAAAGAAGAAAAGAAAGUGUGUUUGAUUUUUUUGAGAAAGUUGGUACUUUUUGUGGAUGUUCAAGCAACAUUUUGGUUAUUAGUAAUUAGUUUAGUUGUUGAAACUAUUUAGCAUAGCUUGAAGCAGACAAGUUUUUUCAGCCCAGUACUUUGUUGAGAUUUGAGAAGGUUCCCCUUUUUAAUAUUGUUCUUAACACAUUACUUUGUUGAGAUUUGAGAAUGUUCCUUUUUUUUAACAUUGUUCUUAUUUGAAUUUAAAAGAUUAAGAACUCA